GAGCCGCAUGCAGGUAAACGGGUGGCGUCAAGCUGCGAGCCCGGAGGAUUCAGCUGGCUAGGUUGUAGAGUACGUGCCUGGCGCGUCAAUUGGCCGGAGUAGAAUGUGUUGGUCUGUCCCUCUCUUAGGGAUGGGGCAUGGCUGUGGUGGUGUCGGUGGAUGGUGUGCGUGUUAGUAGUGGAUCUGGAGGGGGUAGUAAGAUUAAGCAGGUUGGCCUCGGCCCGCUUGCUUGGUUUGCUCUCUCUUCUCCCAUUACUCGCGUACAUUGUUAGCUGGCGUGGCUGCCGCGGUUAAUGCUAUGCGUGCCGGGUGGGUGCCGGUGCAUGCCACACGUCUGUGGGGCCGCCUGGUCAGUGCACUUUCUCCGUGGUGAACACCACGACCGGUGGUAUUGCCAGUCUGCCGUGGUCAAGUCGCGUCCACCUGGCAGCCCGUAUGUUAGUUGGCUGAUUGCCUUGUGUAAUUGGUCUACCGAUAGACGGGUCAGGUGGGUGCGAUCGCAGGUGGAGCGGGUGAACGGCGUAGCGGUGCUUCGGUGUCGCUGCGUGUUAUCGUGCACUCACCAUCGACCAACGAGUUGUCGUGCUGUGCUGCGCUGUGACCGCGCCGACUGUCGACAGCUCGGCGGACCGCGGUAGUGAAAGUGACUGUGCAAGGCACCGAGUGUGUCCACCUCAUCUGUCUGUGUGUGCAUGCUGCUGUUUCGGUAGUAUGCACACAGGGAUUGACAUGGUAUCCGGCACGCAUGUCACAGGUGCCAGUGUUGUAGUAAGACAGAGCGAGGCGCGUCGCUGUCUGUGGGCGUUGGGUGUGAUUGUCGUGUCGCCUGCAAAAAGUAGGUCCGGCAGUGAUCUAACGUCAUUACAGUGGGCAGUGUAUUACGUUGCUUCGAGUGCAUGUGAUACCGGGGGUGCAAUAGUCAGUGGUGCUGUGGUAGAC
rnacentral:rRNA from 1 species